rnacentral:lncRNA from 1 species
UAUAGCAGUAUCAAUCUCUGUUAGGCUGUAAAAAUGCAAAGACUUCAAAAUGUGUACUGAAGAAAGGAAAAUACUCUAAGAAUUUAUGUAAGCUCUAAAAAGUUCUUACAUGAUUCAGCUCUUCUAUUAGUUGUUGAAGUGUGUUUUUUCUGAAAUUUGUGCAGGUGGUGCAGUCAGAAAUGCAUUCCAAAAACUAAAGAUGCACAGUAAUGCCAUACAGCCUGAAUUUGAAAAAAAAGUCUCUAGCACAACCUCCAAAGGACAGACCAGACAGCUGUUUUCCUGCGAGGUGCAUGAGGUGUCCAUAGGACCACUUGGUUCUAGCUCUAAGGCUUCCAAAGGGAAAUAAUACCAAGUGUUGCGGAAAA